rnacentral:lncRNA from 11 species
GGACUACAAAUAAGUGGAGAACGGAGAUGCAAUAAGAACUCAAGGGGGCUGUUGAAGCAGCUGCAGAAGAACCUUGUAUUUAUGAAGGGGGAAAUAAUAAUGGCGGUUUUAUGGCACAUAAGACCCUGUUUCCCCUUGGCUUGUUUGAUUAGAUAGUAUUACCUCAAGGGUUCAGUGGUACCUCAUUGAUUACAUCUCACUUUGCUGGGAAUGUUUGGCUCUCCCAAUCGAUACUGUCAUUGCUCUAAGGAGAUCUAUGAUGAGAAGAGGAACCUGUUUGAAGUAAGAGAAAAUGUUCCAGAUAAAAUAGUGGAAAAGGUGGCAGGGGACAUCGAGAGCCUGUUGGCCAAGAAAGUCCGGGCAUUAAAGGUAAGGUCGCUCUGUGGAACAUUAACUUAUGUAGUGUGUUUAAUGGAACAGAGAAUUAGCAAAAAUGGAACUGGUA